AUCCAGCUGAGCAGUCCCACAUAGGACGAAACGUGCGUCUUAAGU
rfam:Schistosoma curassoni strain Dakar, Senegal genome assembly, scaffold: SCTD_scaffold0001254